UUCUAAACACUUCCAAAGCCCAACCCAUUGAAACCCUAAUCCUUCCCCCUAUAAAUACCACCUAUAACCAACCUCUCUACCACUUUUACAACACUAAAAACUGUCAAAACAUCCUCCAAACCGUAGCUGAAAGCAAAGAGAAACAAGGUGCUCCAACUAGCUAAUUCAACCACCAACUUGCUCUCGGAUUCUCAAGUCACAACUUGUAAACCGUUGAUGAGGAAGAUGCUAAGAAAAGAAGUAGCGUUGAUG